rnacentral:snoRNA from 1 species
UUCAACUGUGAUGAGCCUGCAGACCUGUAAUGAUUUGCAGGUAUGAUCACAAUCAUUAAUGAACAUCUAAGGGACUGAAUUAUU